ACGCCCUGGACCGCGGUGCCCGUGAAAAACUUUUGCAGGUCACCCGCUGCCCGACGACGCCACGUUGUUUCCCGUUUCCGCCACAUUUCCCUGCCACAAGCAAGGAAGGGGCUUGCUCUUCGUUCUGGAUAGUAAUAAUUAUUAUACGGAGUAUUACCAUCGCUGUUGUGUUCGUUCGUGAAUCGGCUACGGCGUUAGUUCGACCCCGGGGUUUCAUCAAACGAUGGAAAGAGAAAAGGUACAGUACAGUACCGUGGGAUGCCAUUGGCAGGUGGGCUGCAUAACACCAGAUCACAAAGGCCAUCGCCGAGAUGAACAUCCCCCCGGGCUGCGGGGAGGGCUCAAGGCCUGGAUUUGGCUAGGCUGAGCCGAGUGGUGUCAUGCACGUGCCUUGCUUCUUCAGGCCAAUUCUCCUAUCCCAUUCUCCUAUUCCUGGACUCCUUGUGCAGCGGAUAUUAUUAUUAUGACCAGGUGGAGGCGGGGAAGGGAACCAAGGGACCCAAGCCUUGCUGAGUAUUAUCAUUUUCCAUUUCUCUUGGCGAUAAUUAUUUUUAACUAUAACUACGACUAUAUCGUGGUCACUACAUGAAAAGAAAAAAAAAAAAAAAAAAAAAGGGCAGAAAGGAAUGGGACACGAUUGCAUAUCGAUCAUGCUUUUGCCUACCUACCUACCAACCCCGCCUCAAGGGAUCGCACACCCUGGAGAUGCAGAGUGUGUGGGCAUCUUGACAAACCUUGGGCCUUGGAACUUGAACCCUUGCGGUGAUUGAGAGCCUGCAGAGAACUUCAAACCUGAAAUGCAAAAGUCAUUGCAUUACGACAUGUCCCUUGUAUACUACUAACUCUAACUCUACGAUGUUUUCCAUCACCUUUUGUCGCCCUUAGCUGCAGUGUGCAGUGACAGAAGGAGAGGGACUAUCGGAAAAAUGCAAUUCCGGAUCUCAGUCAGAUAGUUAGCAAGUUUUAUAUGAAAAAAAAUACUACGGAGUAGUAACUAACUAUAUUAUUUAGAUAGAUAUAUAUAUAGGGUUUGUUCAAUGAUGGCCUGUUAUCCCUCAAAGGCGUAUAUCUAUCUACCAACUAGCGGAAAAGGAAUAGGGAGUGGAAACCCCAUUCUGGAAGGCAUUUCACGGCGUUUUCAUGGUGACUUCUUGAGGAAUUCGAAUGUAUUGUACCCCCAUGUCGACGGUUGAUGAGUAGUUAUCCAAAACUACAUCCAUCGAAGCUCGGGAUAUGAUGGUAAGUUGACCGUACAAUACAAUGAAAACGCGAUUGAGACGGAGACAUCCCCUUUCUUGAACAGAACUAGUUAUGCCUUCGAUCGAACACUUUGAAUUUACUUCUUCCAUCCACCACUCCCUCCUCUCAUCUCCUCUCCUCUCCUCUCCUCUCCUCUCCUCUCCUUUCUCCGCUGUAUUCCUUCUUUUCUUUUUCCCUCCUUGUCCGCCAAAGCAACAACUUGCAACGACUCCUCCACUCCACUCCACUCCGCCAUGAAACGAUACAUACUAGGGCCCACCACUUCCCUCCUCGAUCUCUCGAUCUCUCGAUCUCCGCCAGUCGCUGCUAUGUGGGGAGAGUAACGAAGGAUAAUAAAUAUCAAAGCAGGUGUCAGGGUUCUCCACUAGUUUAGUUAAGACUACGUUCGGGCCUAUAAGUUCCAUCUGAUUUUCGCCAAAAUUUCCAAAAAAAAAAAAAAUUCUCAAAUCUCAAAUUUCAAAAAUUCAAAUUUUCCAAUGGGGGUUUCUAAAUUUGAUUGAUUUUUUAUUAUAUCGGGUCGUUAAAUGUCGUCAAAGGUCUGUCCGUAUCCUGAAAAGCCAAAGGCCAAGAGCCAACAGCUAAGAAAGAAGAAAGAAGAAAGUUACACACAUGUAUACCGGAACCAAAAGACAGCAAUGUAAAAAGUUCAAAAAAAGGGAAAGACAGGGGACCAGGUCACAGGCCACAGGUCACUCGAAAGCAAAGUAAGGAUAAUAGAAAAGGAAAUAACUAAAGCUAAAAAAAAAAAAAAAAAAAAAAAAAAAAAAAAAAAAAAAAACAGACAAGCACGCUCAAAAGUGUAAUGCUCUCUAACUCCAGAAAAAUGUCGGAAAAAAAAAAAAAAGAAAAGAGAAAAGUAGGAGCAAUACCAAUAACUCCGAAAAAUGGAAUCCCUUUCCCUAAUGCCAACGAGUAAAGCCACGGUGAAAAUAAUAUAUCGAUAUACGCCUCGCUCAAGGGCCGAGCCGCAAACAAGAAAACCCUUCUCCGAAAAUUAAAAAUUAAAAAAUUAAUAAUAAAAUAAUAAUAAAAACA
rnacentral:sRNA from 1 species